UGGGGUUGUAGGACUACGAUAUCGGACGAAAGCUGAUGAAAAGAAUGAUCUGGAAAGUUCAACCACAGAGCAUGAAAGUUGCGUAUUUGAAGUCAGCCGAACCGUAGUAGUAUCCUGAGUAGCGCGGAGCACGAGGAAUUCUGCGUGAAUCUGCCGGGACCAUCCGGUAAGGCUAAAUACUCCCGAGAGACCGAUAGCGAACCAGUACCGUGAGGGAAAGGUGAAAAGCACUUCGAACAGAAGAGUGAAACAGUCCCUGAAACCGUGCGCCUACAAGCGGUCGGAGCAGCUUGAGCUGUGACGGCGUGCCUUUUGCAUAAUGAACCUACGAGUUGCCGUUGCCGGCAAGGUUAAGGGUGAUGACACCCGAAGCCGAAGCGAAAGCGAGUCUGAAGAGGGCGCCUGAGUCGGCAGUGGCAGACGCGAAACCAAGUGAUCUACCCUUGACCAGGUUGAAGGCUGGGUAACACCAGCUGGAGGACCGAACCAAUAAGCGUUGAAAAGCUUCUGGAUGAGUUGAGGGUAGGGGUGAAAGGCUAAUCAAACUUGGAGAUAGCUCGUACUCCCCGAAAUGCAUUUAGGUGCAGCCUUGCGGGUUACUGAUGUGAGGUAGAGCGACUGAUAAGAUGCGAGGGCUUCACCGCCUAUCAAGUCUUGACAAACUCCGAAUGCGCAUCAGUCCUACCGCAGGAGUGAGGGCAUGGGUGCUAAGGUCCGUGCCCGAGAGGAGAAGAAUCCGGACCACCUGCUAAGGUCCCGAAAUGACAGCUAAGUUAAACUAACGAAGUCGGACUGCCAUGACAGCUAGGAUGUUGGCUUGGAAGCAGCCAUUCAUUUAAAGAGUGCGUAACAGCUCACUAGUCGAGGAGUCCGGCGUGGAUAAUAAUCGGGUAUGAAGUUGUCUACCGAAGCAGUGGGAUCAUGUAAAUGAUCGGUAGGGGAGCAUUCCACUCGGCGUCGAAGGCGUACCGUGAGGUAUUCUGGAGCGUGUGGAAAAGCAAAUGUAGGUAUAAGUAACGAUAAAGCAGGUG
rnacentral:rRNA from 1 species